GACUCUCGGCAACGGAUAUCUCGACUCUUGCAUCGAUGAAGAAUGUAGUGAAAUGCAAUAGUUGGUGUGAAUUAUAGAAUCCCAUGAACCAUUGAGUCUUUGAACGCAAGUUAUGCCCGAAGCCUCAGUUGAGGGCAUGUUUGCUUGGGUGUCACACGUCGUGUCGCCUCUAAACCCUUUACUAGUCAAAUGUUGCGGUGAUGGUUUGGAUGCAAAAGUUGGCCUCCUGUGGCCACAAGCUAUGGAUGGCCCAAACGAGUGCUAGGGAAGCGAAGUGCCACAACAUUUGGCGGUUGAUCUAAGCAUCGGAAGCAAUGUCGGUGGCGGCCGCACGUAUCCCCAGCCUAGACCCUAAAUGUUAACCGACUUGACCUCAAAUCGGGUGAGACUACCCGCUGAACUUAAGCAUAUCAAUAAGCGGAGGAAAAGAAACUAACAAGGAUUCCCCUAGUAACUGCGAGUGAAGCGGGA
rnacentral:misc_RNA from 1 species